rnacentral:tRNA from 1 species
AGGAUUUUAGUUAAUUAUAACAUCUGGGUUGCAUUCAGAAGGUGCUAAAUAGCUUCUCUUA